rnacentral:lncRNA from 1 species
GUGGGGCAUGCCAACCUAAAUUGAUAGCUCUACUUAUUGGGCCACAUAGUCAUCCUUUUCAACGUGCAUUUAAUGUCUAUAGUUCUACUUAAAAAUAUUUCUUCUUUUUUGAAAAAAUUAUAACAUCUUGUGAUCAUAUUACAAAUAUUUAUAUUCUAUUUAUUAAUAUAUGUCAUCCUUUAUUUGUAAUCAUACUAUCAAUUUGAGACUUCUAAGGAUGAAGAGGCCGACCGUUGGACCUUCGAAGAGGUUGCCAUAUGUAGACUCCGAGAUGGACUGUACCACCUCAGGC